rnacentral:rRNA from 1 species
CACGUAGGGGGCGAGCGUUGUCCGGAUUUAUUGGGCGUAAAGAGCUCGUAGGCGGCUCAGUAAGUCGGGUGUGAAAUUUCAGGGCUCAACCCUGAAACGCCACCCGAUACUGCUGUGGCUAGAGUCCGGUAGGGGAGCGUGGAAUUCCUGGUGUAGCGGUGAAAUGCGCAGAUAUCAGGAGGAACACCAGCGGCGAAGGCGGCUACCUGGACAAUUGCUGACGCUCAGGCACGAAAGCGUGGGGAGCAAAAGGG